UGGGUACAGUGUGCUACCUCUGCAGAGUGUAUUUAAUCUAUCGAUAGUCGCGUCCGUAUUAGGUCCCACCGUUCGAUUCAACACUCACAUGACGGAAUGACUUAUAGGUGAUUUAUAUGUUGAUAUGUUGAGCAGUACAGAUUGGCAGGAUGUUGAUGAUGAAGUUUGAGACCCAGUGUUGGUCAUGGUAGUGAUCGCUGGAAAGAUCACAGUUUGAGACCAGGUGUUGGUCAUCGUAGUGAUCGCCGGAAAGAUCACAGUUUGAGACUAAGUGUUGGUCAUGGUGGUGAUCGCUGUAAAGAUCGUCGUAUGGUUUCGAUCAUGAGUUGAUCGAGAUGGUAUAUUGCUUGGUUGGUUAGCCAAGAGAGAUAUGGUUAUGGAGAUCUGAGAUGGUGAUGUAUCAGCAUUGUAUUAGUUCAUCUCAUGCUUAGUAGUUGCUUCAUCAUGGUAGUUGAUAAUUAAUUAACCUGUUAAUGCUAUGUCAUUGUCUUGCCUUGAUGUUUAUGGUUGUUGUGAGCUUGCAGGUACAUUCAAUGUACUGACCUGGCGUGUCAUGCCAGAUUGCAGGUGAUGUCGUGAUUGCUUGAUUGCUUGUCGUGGUUUCCAUUCGUGCGAUCUAGAUCGUGUCCCAGCCAGAGUCCCUACGGAGUGGAGUUCACCACCUUCGUCAUUGUUCCGCUGCUACGAGAUGUUCCGCUCCUAACAUAGAGCAAGUGUAGUAUCGCAGGCGUAGUGUAGACAUGCCGAUGUGAUCAUUGUAACAUUAGACCCGUGUAAUUAUUAUUCUUGUAAUAAGAGCUGAUUUGUUCUAUGUCAAGCAGUGUCGUAUUCCAGAGACUUCUCCUUGAUCUCUGGGCUGGAAUACGGGGCAUUCCGGUUUCUCUGAGCCGGGGUGCCACAGGAAACCCUUCUCCCAUCUAGGGAGAAGAAGAAGAAGGGGGCCUCUCCCCCUCUCUUCCGGUGGCGCCGGAACGCCGCCGGGGCCAUCAUCAUCAUCGCAGUCUACACCAACAACUUCACCGUCAUCAUCACUAACUCUCCCCUCUUUUACCCGUUGUAAUCUCUACUUAAACAUGGUGCUCAACGCUAUAUAUUAUUUCCCAAUGAUGUAUGGCUAUCCUAUGAUGUUUGAGUAGAUCCGUUUUGUCCUAUGGGUUAAUUGAUGAUCGUGAUUGGUUUGAAUUGCAUGGUUUAUUGUUGGUGUUGUCCUAUGGUGCUCUCCGUGUCGCGCAAGAAUGAGGGAUCCCUGUUGUAGGGUUUGCAAUAUGUUCAUGAUUUUCUUAUGGUGGGUGGCGUGAGUGAUAGAAAUACAGACCCGAGUAAGUAGGUUUUUUGCGUAUGGGAAUAAAGAG
rnacentral:lncRNA from 1 species